GGUAGUGCCGGGCCGGGUGCGGGGGUAAUACGGGAAGUGCGGGCGUUAGCCGGGUUUAUUGAGUGUAAAGGGAGCGGAGGACGGGGAUUGAGCGUGUUGUGAAAUGUAGACGCGCAACGUCUGCACGGCAGUGCGAACUGGUUUCCUUGAGUACGCACAAAGUGGGCGGAAUUCGUGGUGUAGCGGUGAAAUGCUUAGAUAUCACGAAGAACUCCGAUUGCGAAGGCAGCUGACGGUAGCGCAACUGACGCUGAGGUUCGAAAGUGCGGGUAUCGAACAGGAUUAGAUACCCGUGUAGUC
rnacentral:rRNA from 1 species